UACAGAGGUCUCAAGCGUUGUUCGGAUUCAUUGGGCGUAAAGGGUGCGUAGGCGGCGCGGUAAGUCGGGUGUGAAAUCUCGGAGCUUAACUCCGAAACUGCAUUCGAUACUGCCGUGCUUGAGGACUGGAGAGGAGACUGGAAUUUACGGUGUAGCGGUGAAAUGCGUAGAUAUCGUAAGGAAGACCAGUGGCGAAGGCGGGUCUCUGGACAGUUCCUGACGCUGAGGCGCGAAGGCGUGGGGAGCAAACAGG
rnacentral:rRNA from 1 species